rnacentral:rRNA from 1 species
UACGGAGGGGGCCAGCGUUGUUCGGAAUUACUGGGUUUAAAGGGUGCGCAGGCGGAUAUGUAAGUCAGUGGUGAAAUCUCUAGGCUUAACCUGGAAAUUGCCGUUGAUACUAUAUAUCUUGAAUGCUGUGGAGGUAAGCGGAAUAUGUCAUGUAGCGGUGAAAUGCUUAGAUAUGACAUAGAACACCUAUUGCGAAGGCAGCUUACUACGCAGAUAUUGACGCUCAUGCACGAAAGCGUGGGGAUCAAACAGG